rnacentral:rRNA from 1 species
AUGGCCGCCCAGGCACCGGCGAUCGAGGUUCCCACUGAUGCCGAGCUGCUGCAGGCCCAGGCCGACCUGUGGCGCCACACCCUCUACUACCUCACCUCCAUGGGGCUCCGCUGCGCCGUCAAGCUCGGCAUCCCGACGGCCAUGCACAACCUCGGCGGGGUCACCUCACUGCCCGACCUGGCGGCCGCGCUGUCCAUCCCCGCAAGCAAGCAGCCGUUCCUGGGCCGCCUGAUGCGUGCCCUGGUCACCUCAGGCGUCUUCGCCGCCGGCGGCAAGGACGAUUCCGAGGCAGAGCUCUUCCGCCUCAACCCGCUUUCCCGUGUCCUGGUGGAUGACGUGGUCGCGGACGACCACCACAGCCAGACGUCCUUCGUGCUCGCCGGGACGUCGCCGCACUACAUGGAGGCCGCCCUGGGGAUGGCCGACUGGUUCAAGAAGGACGUCACCGGACCAGUGCCGUCGGUGUUCGAGGACGUGCAUAGCGCGUCGCUCUUCGACGAGACCACGGCGGCCUUGGACCCGGAGCUCGACGCGCUGGUCACCGAAGGUCUCGAAGCCCACGACAACCUGGGGAUCGGCACGAUCAUGCGUGAGUGCCAUGACCUCUUCAAGGGGCUCGAGUCUCUAACUGACUGCUGUGGUGGCGAUGGAAAGACGGCGAGGGCCAUCACCAAGGCCCACCCGCACGUCAAGUGCACCGUGCUGGAUCUCCCCAAGGUGAUCCAAAAAACUCCGUCGGACUGUGUAGUCAACUAUGUCGCCGGUGACCUCUUCCACACCGUCCCAAAGGCUCAGGCCGUGAUGCUCAAGCUUGUGCUGCACCACUGGAGUGACGACGACUGCGUGAAGAUCCUUACCCAGUGUAAGAAUGCCAUUCCUUCCCGUGAAGAAGGAGGGAAGGUGAUUGUCAUUGACAUUGUGGUCGAACCAUCAUUAGGACCUGUCAUGUUUGAGGCCCAGACUCUCAUGGACUUGCUCAUGCUUGUGUUCACGAGAGGCCGUCAACGUAGCGAAAAUGACUGGCGUGAGCUCUUCAUGAAAGCAGGGUUCACCGACUACAAAAUUAUCAAGAAACUCGGUGCACGAGGUGUCAUCGAGGUCUACAAGUGA